rnacentral:rRNA from 1 species
GACGAACGCUGGCGGCGCGCCUAACACAUGCAAGUCGAACGGAGCUUAGAGAGCUUGCUUUUUAAGCUUAGUGGCGAACGGGUGAGUAACGCGUGAGUAACCUGCCCUAGAGUGGGGGACAACAGUUGGAAACGACUGCUAAUACCGCAUAAGCCCACGGUACCGCAUGGUACUGAGGGAAAAGGAUUUAUUCGCUUUAGGAUGGACUCGCGUCCAAUUAGCUAGUUGGUGAGGUAACGGCCCACCAAGGCGACGAUUGGUAGCCGGACUGAGAGGUUGAACGGCCACAUUGGGACUGAGACACGGCCCAGACUCCUACGGGAGGCAGCAGUGGGGGAUAUUGCACAAUGGGGGAAACCCUGAUGCAGCGACGCCGCGUGGAGGAAGAAGGUUUUCGGAUUGUAAACUCCUGUCGUUAGGGACGAUAAUGACGGUACCUAACAAGAAAGC